rnacentral:rRNA from 1 species
GACGAACGCUGGCGGCGCGCUUAACACAUGCAAGUCGAACGGAAAGGCCUGCUUUCCCUUGUGGAUUGCGGGUACUCGAGUGGCGAACGGGUGAGUAACACGUGAGUGAUCUGCCCCCAACUUGGGUAUAAGCCUGGGAAACUGGGUCUAAUUCCCGAUAGGACUGCAGGGUGGUGCCUGUGGUGGAAAACGAUUUUCUAGUGGUUGGGGAUGAGCUCGCGGCCUAUCAGCUUGUUGGUGGGGUAAUGGCCUACCAAGGCGGCGACGGGUAGCCGGCCUGAGAGGGUGGACGGCCACAUUUGGACUGAGAUACGGCCCAGACUCCUACGGGAGGCAGCAGUGGGGAAUAUUGCACAAUGGGCGGAAGCCUGAUGCAGCGACGCCGCGUGGGGGAUGACGGCCUUCGGGUUGUAAACUCCUUUCGACCGCGAGGAAGCCACCUGGUUGGAAGGGUGGUGACGGUAGUGGUAGAAGAAGCACCGGCUAACUACGUG